CACAAACACUAAUUGUGGGUCCCACGUGGCCCUUCCCUGGCUCCAUUCAUGAAAGUGGUAUUUUUAGCCCUGGACCGGCCGCCCGCGGUCGCGGUGGGGGUGGCCAGGCCAUGUGUCAUGUCUGAGUGAUCACGGACUCACCCUGCUCGGGAAACCGGCCACGCGGACCAGCUGCUGCCUCCCGGGCCGCCGCCGCCUCCGGGACGAGCGCCGCGGUGUUCAGCGGCUCUGGCUGCUUAAACCUCCGCACCUCCAAGGCGCAGCCCGGGGCGUGGGGAGUAAUGGUAACAGCACUGAGCUCUUACUGGGUGCCAGGCACCGUUCUGAUUUCACAUGGUUAGUCUUGGAAACAGAAGAUAUGAUGGUGAAAUUGUAGACACUGUGACCAGCUAUGGGGAGCUAUUUGGAGCCAAUCAUGCCAUGGCAGCAUCUGCCCACUCCUUGGUUUCCAGCAGAAGAGAAUUUGGCAGGGAGAUGCGAAGAUGGUGGUGAGAAGUAACCACUGAUAUCCGGACUGUGAGGGAGAAAUAUUUAAAACUAAUAAAAAAAAC